rnacentral:rRNA from 1 species
GACGAACGCUGGCGGCGUGCUUAACACAUGCAAGUCGAACGAAGUGGCGAACGGGUGAGUAACGCGUAAUCAACCUGCCCUUCAGAGGGGGACAACAGUUGGAAAGGACUGCUAAUACCCCAUACUGACGGGGGGGAUGGCGUCUGAUUAGCUAGUUGGGGGGGGAACGGCCCACCAAGGCGAGGAUAAGUAGCCGGGCUGAGAGGAGGGACCGCCAAAUUGGGACUGAGACACGGCCCAGACUCCUACGGGAGGCAGCAGUGGGGAAUCUUCCGCAAUGGACGAAAGUCUGACGGAGCAACGCCGCGUGAGGUAUGACGGCCUUCGGGUUGUAAAGCUCUGUUAAUCGGGACGCGGUACCGGAAUAGAAAGCCACGGCUAACUACGUGCCAGCAGCCGCGGUAAUUC